AGCCAUGUAGUGAAUGCAAAGCGAACUAUUCUUUCGCCUUUUACUAAAGAAUACCGUGUGUUCUCUACUUAAAAUGGCAUACGAUAAUUUUUUUAAGAGGGCCUGCACUGUAGGCCCU
rnacentral:snRNA from 2 species